rnacentral:pre_miRNA from 1 species
UCUUCAUUUACCAAACUCUCUCACUGGUCAGAGAAGCGAGAGAGCGUGAGAAAUGAAGAGA